GUUUCGGGUGCGGCGCCGGUCUAAGUCCCUUGGAACAGGGCGUCAUAGAGGGUGAGAAUCCCGUAUGUGACCGGUGACCAACCCCAUGUGAAACUCCUUCGACGAGUCGAGUUGUUUGGGAAUGCAGCUCAAAAUGGGUGGUAAAUUUCAUCUAAAGCUAAAUACUGGCCAGAGACCGAUAGCGCACAAGUAGAGUGAUCGAAAGAUGAAAAGCACUUUGGAAAGAGAGUCAAAAAGUACGUGAAAUUGUUGAAAGGGAAGCGCUUGCAACCAGACCUGUCCGUAGGCGAUCAACCUCUGUUCUCAGGGGUGCACUCGUCUGCGAUCAGGCCAGCAUCGGUUCGGGCGGCUGGAUAAAGGCCUUGGGAAUGUGGCUCCUCUCGGGGAGUGUUAUAGCCCUUGGUGCAAUGCGGCCAGCCCGGACCGAGGACCGCGCUUCGGCUAGGAUGCUGGCGUAAUGGUUGUAAGCGACCCGUCUUGAAACACGGACCAAGGAGUAUAAUAUUUAUGCAAGUGUUUGGGUGUUAAACCCAUGCGCGCAAUGAAAGUGAACGGAGGUGAGAACCCUGAAGGGCGCAUCAUCGACCGAUCCAGAUGUCUUCGGAUGGAUUUGAGUAUGAGCAUAAAUGUUGUGACCCGAAAGAUGGUGAACUAUGCCUGAAUAGGGUGAAGCCAGAGGAAACUCUGGUGGAGGCUCGCAGCGGUUCUGACGUGCAAAUCGAUCGUCAAAUUUUGGCAUAGGGGCGAAAGACUAAUCGAACCAUCCGUUGCUUUUCGCUUGCUAGGUGGUUCAUAAGCGUUAGGCGGCUGCUCUCAGUCGCCUACGCCGAGUCCUUCGGGGCAACAUCGCUACUUGCAUGAAUCCCUCGGGGGUGAUAUGCUGCAGGUGGUCUUCACCGAGACCCCUGUUCACAGACCAAAUGGCGGUGGCCGCGGUGUGUCUUCCUAGACCCCCGGUUUAGAAAUGGCCGAGUUCCGCUCCGAUGGAGAGCGAGCCUCGGGAUGUAGGGCCGACAGC
rnacentral:rRNA from 1 species